AAAAAACUUUUUUUUUUAAGGAGAGAAUGAUCUUUAUACACUAUAAAGAGGUCAAAUCAUAUUCAACUUUUUACAUGCAAAGAGGAAAAGAUAUGACUAAAACUCUCAAGUUGAUUUAUGCAAUGAUUUUAUUUAUGUCCUUAUUUCUUUUCGCAAUGAAAGCUCCAAUUAAAUGUGAAGAAGAUGCAGAUUGUCCGAAGAGUGAGAACUUGAUUUAUGGUUAUAAGUGCAUUAAUUUCAUAUGUGAAUGGACUCAAAUUAUUUUAUGAUUCCAUGAAUAUGAGACUCAAGAGAGUACAAAAACGUGCUAGAGAGGAUAAUGCAUUAUAUCUGUUACCAAAAGAAAUGGGUAAUAAAUCUUAUGAUAGAA